CCUGUAAAACAUAUACCCACAGCAAGUCAUGAACACUCACGUACAGAGGCAGAAGCACACAUUUUGGUCUACGCAAGAAUGAAAAAAAACACAUUCUGCUCUACCACAAGUCUGAGUUUCAAUAGUCCCAGACAUCACUUCCAUUGCCUAAGAGCAAGGAUAGAGGAAGCGACGUCUUAAGGAGGCUGUUGAGUGUCCAGCAGUAAAGGCAUUUAACACCAAACUGAGCAAGAGUUUGUUGUGCCUCAAACUGCAUCCAGUGUUCAAAGUGAGGCUGCACCAGCACAGAGCAAAGCAGGGCAAUCCCUUCCUUUGACCAGCUGGAAGUGCUGGGCCUGAUGCAGAAGGAUAACAAUUUGCAUGUGCUGAGAGCCUUACACUGGAAGUUUAAAGUGAUUCAGAGCAGGAAAGAUAGUUCCCUCAAUAAUCUGCCCUGCCACAGCUAAAUUGUUCAGCAUAAAAUAAGGAGAAAACAUGAUCAUCUUUUACAGAGUAAAUCAACCUUAAUCGUCUUGCAACAGAAACUGCUGCUAACAGCCUUUUUAAAUUCCACGAGCCAACAGAAAAAGCAUAUGGAGAAGAAACCACGGAGAGGCCCCUGGUGGAGCAGGCUGUCCCCCUGCAGCCCAUGGGUCCCCCAUGGAGCAGAUCUCGAGGAGCCCAUGGUAGAGCACCAGAGAGAAACUGCUGUGACCUGGCCACAACUCACAUUCUCCAUACAUCUGCACUGCUUGGCAUGGGAGAGGAGGCAGAAAAAUGAAGCUGAGCCUAGCACGAAGCAGGACUGGGGGGAUGACGGGUUUAGUUUUGUUUCUCACCAUCCUAUUCUGUAAAUAAACUGAUCGUCCCCAA